GGGGAUGCUAGGCAUCGACGGUUAGUCGUGCUGGUCGUGUGCAGUGUCGAAAACUGGUAAUCAAUUCGUUAAAAGGUUCCAUUCUGUACGUGCAAACAAAGCAGUACCAAGCCCUUACGCUCGCGCGUUCGGGUUCGCUCCCGCAUUUGCGUAAUCUUACGCUCGCCGGAUCGAUGCUCCGCUCAUAAACGUCUCAUACGUGAGUCGGGGUAGAAUAGCCACGAGACUGUGUAAACCAUAGCCGUUGUCAUUGGUUUUCAAGAUUGUAACAACUCGAGAUCGUAGUGUUUGGUUAAUCUUCUAGCUACGACCUUUAAACAGAAGUAAUUCUGAAAAAGGCUAACUACGCACUGUAGACUCACGGUCACAACCUAAUUCGGACACGGGUUCAAUUCCCGUCAUCUCCACCG
rnacentral:tmRNA from 1 species